rnacentral:rRNA from 1 species
GAGCACUCUGAUCCAGCCAUGCCGCGUGUAGGAAGACUGCCCUAUGGGUUGUAAACUACUUUUAUAUGGGAAGAAUAAGAUCUACGUGUAGAUUGAUGACGGUACCAUAAGAAUAAGCACCGGCUAACUCCGUGCCAGCAGCCGCGGUAAUACGGAGGGUGCAAGCGUUAUCCGGAAUCAUUGGGUUUAAAGGGUCCGUAGGCGGGCAUAUAAGUCAGUGGUGAAAGUCUGUGGCUUAACCAUAGAAUUGCCAUUGAUACUGUAUGUCUUGAAUUAUUGUGAAGUGGUUAGAAUAUGUAGUGUAGCGGUGAAAUGCUUAGAGAUUACAUAGAAUACCGAUUGCGAAGGCAGAUCACUAACAAUAUAUUGACGCUGAUGGACGAAAGCGUAGGUAGCGAACAGGAUUAGAUACCCUGGUAGUCUACGCCGUAAACGAUGGAUACUAGUUGUUUGGUUUUCGGACUGAGUGACUAAGCGAAAGUGAUAAGUAUCCCACCUGGGGAGUACGUUCGCAAGAAUGAAACUCAAAUG